UACAGAGGGUGCGAGCGUUAAUCGGAAUUACUGGGCGUAAAGCGUGCGUAGACGGUUAUUUAAGUCGGGUGUGAAAGCCCCGGGCUCAACCUGGGAAUUGCAUUCGAGACUGAAUAGCUAGGGUACGGUAGAGGGAAGCGGAAUUUCCGGUGUAGCGGUGAAAUGCGUAGAUAUCUGGAGGAAUACCGGUGGCGAAGGCGGCAUCCUGGACCGGCAUUGACGCUGAGGAGCGAAAGCCAGGGGAGCAAACGGG
rnacentral:rRNA from 1 species